CUGGCCCGGCGGGGGAGCCGCAAACGCGGUCCGACGCGCGCAACACUCCCGUCGCCGCCCCACUUGCCGCUGAC